rnacentral:rRNA from 1 species
GGGUUAAGUCCCGCAACGAGCGCAACCCUAUUGCUAGUUACCAUCAUUAAGUUGGGGACUCUAGCGAGACUGCCAGUGAUAAACUGGAGGAAGUGGGGAUGACGUCAAAUCAUCAUGCCCCUUAUGACCUGGGCUACAAACGUGAUACAAUGGCUGGAACAAAGGGAUGCGAAGCAGUGAUGUGGAGCGAAACCCAUAAAAACAGUCUCAGUUCGGAUUGAAGUCUGCAACUCGACUUCAUGAAGUCGGAAUCGCUAGUAAUCGCGGAUCAGAACGCCGCGGUGAAUACGUUCUCGGGGUUU